rnacentral:rRNA from 1 species
CCUACGGGAGGCUGCAGUGAGGAAUAUUGGUCAAUGGACGAGAGUCUGAACCAGCCAAGUAGCGUGAAGGAUGACUGCCCUAUGGGUUGUAAACUUCUUUUAUAAAGGAAUAAAACGAGGCACGUGUGCCCUUUUGCAUGUACUUUAUGAAUAAGGACCGGCUAACUCCGUGCCAGCAGCCGCGGUAAUACGGAGGGUCCGAGCGUUAUCCGGAUUUUUUGGGUUUAAAGGGAGCGUAGAUGGGUUUUUAAGGCAGUUGUGAAAGUUUGCGGCUCAACCGUAAAAUUGCAAUUGAUACUGGCAGUCUUGAGUGCAGGUGAGGUAGGCGGAAUGCGUGGUGUAGCGGUGAAAUGCUUAGAUAUCACGAAGAACCCCGAUUGCGAAGGCAGCUUACUAAACUGUGACUGACAUUGAUGCUCGAAAGUGUGGGUAUCAAACAGGAUUAGAUACCCUAGUAGUC